rnacentral:rRNA from 1 species
AUUGAACGCUGGCGGCAUGCUUUACACAUGCAAGUCGAACGGUAACAGGCCGCAAGGUGCUGACGAGUGGCGAACGGGUGAGUAAUGCAUCGGAACGUGCCCAGUCGUGGGGGAUAACGCAGCGAAAGCUGCGCUAAUACCGCAUACGAUCUCUGGAUGAAAGCGGGGGACCGAAAGGCCUCGCGCGAUUGGAGCGGCCGAUGUCAGAUUAGGUAGUUGGUGGGGUAAAGGCCCACCAAGCCAACGAUCUGUAGCUGGUCUGAGAGGACGACCAGCCACACUGGGACUGAGACACGGCCCAGACUCCUACGGGAGGCAGCAGUGGGGAAUUUUGGACAAUGGGCGCAAGCCUGAUCCAGCAAUGCCGCGUGCAGGAAGAAGGCCUUCGGGUUGUAAACUGCUUUUGUACGGAACGAAACGGUCCUGGUUAAUACCUGGGGCUAAUGACGGUACCGUAAGAAUAAGCACCGGCUAACUCUGUGCCAGCAGCCGCGGUAACAC